rnacentral:rRNA from 1 species
AUUGAACGCUGGCGGCAUGCCUUACACAUGCAAGUCGAACGGUAACGGGCCUUCGGGUGCCGACGAGCGGCGCACGGGGGAGGAAUACAUCGGAACGUACCCGAUCCUGGUGGGUAACGAGGCGAAAGCUGGGCUAAGACCGCAAACGACCUACGGACGAAAGCAGGGGCCGGCAAGGCGUGGGGGGGACGGAGCGGCCAAUGCCUGAUUAGGCAGGUGGUGGGAGAAAAGCUUACCAAGCGGACGAUCUGUAGCUGGUCUGAGAGGAUGAUCAGCCACACUGGGACUGAGACACGGCCCAGACUCCUACGGGAGGCCGCAGUGGGGAAUUUUGGACAAUGGGCGCAAGCCUGAUCCAGCCACGCCGCGUGCAGGAUGAAGGCCUUCGGGUUGUAAACUGCUUUUGUGCGGAACGAAAAGCCUUCUUUUAAUACAGGAGGGUCAUGACGGUACCGUAAGAAUAAGCACCGGCUAACUACGUG